rnacentral:rRNA from 1 species
UACGAAGGGGCGAGCGUUGUUCGGAUUUACUGGGCGUAAAGGGCGCGUAGGCGGCCUGAUAAGUAGGAGGUGAAAUCCUGCGGCUUAACCGCAGGGCUGCCUUCUAAACUGUCAGGCUGGAGCACAGUAGAGGCAGGUGGAAUUCCCGGUGUAGCGGUGAAAUGCGUAGAUAUUGGGAGGAACACCAGUGGCGAAGGCGGCUCACUGGACCGGUACUGACGCUGAGGUGCGAAAGCGUGGGGAGCAAACAGG